rnacentral:rRNA from 1 species
GGUGGCGGAAGGGUGAGUAACACGUGGGAAUCUACCUCCUCGCAGGGAACAACCUCUCGAAAGAGAGGCUAAUACCCAAAAGGGUCAGUAAUGAUCAGAGUCGAAAGGCGUGAGGAGAGGAGCCCGCGGCCCAUCAGCUAGUUGGUGAGGUAAUGGCUUACCAAGGCUACGACGGGUAGGGGAUCUGAGAGGAUGUCCCCCACACUGGAACUGAAACACGGUCCAGACGCCUACGGGUGGCAGCAGUGAGGAAUAUUGGACAAUGGGCGAAAGCCCGAUCCAGCAACGCCGCGUGGAGGAUGAAGGCCUUCGGGUCGUAAACUUCUUUAGAGGGAGACGAGAAAGGACGGUAUCCCUAGAAUAAGCGACGGCAAACUACGUGCCAGCAGCCGCGGUAACACGUAGGUCGCGAGCGUUAUCCGGAUUUACUGGGCGUAAAGCGCUUGUAGGCGGUUCUGUAAGUCGGGCGUGAAAUCUCCGGGCUUAACCCGGAGUGGCCGUUCGAUACUGCAGGGCUUGAGGAUGCUAGAGGGUGGUGGAAUUCCAGGUGUAGUGGUGAAAUGCGUAGAUAUCUGGAGGAACAUCCGUGGCGAAGGCGGCCACCUGGGGCAUUCCUGACGCUGAGAAGCGACAGCUAGGGGAUCAAACGGGAUUAGAAACCCCGGUAGUCCUAGCCGUAAACGAUGGACGCUAGGUGUUGGCAGAUCUAACCCUGUCUGCGCCGAAGCAAACGCGUUAAGCGUCCCGCCUGGGAACUACGGUCGCAAGAUUAAAACUCAAAGGAAUUGACGGGGACCCGCACAAGCAGCGGAGCGUGUGGUUUAAUUCGAUGCUACACGAAGAACCUUACCCAGGUUUGACAUACUAGUGG